CAGCAGCCACGGUAAUACGAAGGGUGCAAGCGUUACUCGGAUUUACUGGGCGUAAAGCGUGCGUAGGCGGCUUCUUAAGUCGGAUGUGAAAUCCCUGAGCUUAACUUAGGAAUUGCAUUCGAUACUGGGAAGCUAGAGUAUGGGAGAGGAUGGUAGAAUUCCAGGUGUAGCGGUGAAAUGCGUAGAGAUCUGGAGGAAUACCGAUGGCGAAGGCAGCCAUCUGGCCUAAUACUGACGCUGAGGUACGAAAGCAUGGGGAGCAAACAGGAUUAGAUACCCGAGUAGUCCCUGUCUCUUAUAC
rnacentral:rRNA from 1 species